rnacentral:rRNA from 1 species
AUCACGACGCCGAGUUGGCCGCCGCCGGCGCCGCCGGCGCUGUCCCGCCAAUCAUGCCACCGCCACCAGCGUGCGUCUCCUCGUGCGCCUCAUCUCCCGCCGCCCUCCUCUCCCAGGAGUCCGGCCGUAGCAUCUACGGGCACCUCAUCUCGUCACUGCGUUCACCCUCCCCAGCUCCCCCCUUUCCCUACCAGGCUACCACCUCCAGCUGCGACGGCCCGCGCCGCGUUCAACGUCCCCGCGCCAGAGACCUGAGGUCGAAAACCGAGUCAAUCCCCAACCCGGCGCGUCGCCGCGAGCUGCCCCGACGGAGCUCCAUCUGAUGUUUUGUUGCACAGUACGUACAGUAGUUGUUAAGUUGUGAACCCUUGCUUGUUGACUGUGGCUGUACUUGUGAACCCUUGCUUGACGGCAAGGAUGCUGGAUGGUGAAAUCUGAAUAUCUCUGGCAGUAAAUUUGACUGGUUGCCGUGCAAGUCCUAGUCCCCGGAUCCACAAGGCGCAGAUUUUCUUCAUGACGACAGUGACCGACGCCCCACGAUGGCUGCAAAUCGGGACAGGUGACAUCCGAGUUUCUCUGUGCUUGAUUCAGUCAGGCAACACCGCCCCGGAUGUAGCCUCUGAGAUAUUUCUAGUUUCUUGAUCUUCAAUGCACCGCGGAGACCUCGCGGUCUUGUGUACACACUUGCCUUUCCUAUUGAUCAAGGCUGGACUUUGUGUGGCCAACCGGAUAUAUAAAGCCUGUGCAAAUGUGAGAAGCCACAUCAGGAAUACCAAUACUCUGAGCAGUACUUCAGCUCCUACCUUGUACAUUUGUAGCCUCCAAGCAAACAGUCUGAAGCAUCUUCAUAGUUCAUACUAUAUCUCCUUACUUUCCUCUUCACAAGCAUAUGCACAAGGCCUAAUGGGCCCUGUUUUUGUCCUCCUGUUACUGAUUUGUGUCUGCAACUCCGAGGAUCGCCUAACACCUGCAAAGCCACACUCCGUCGGCGACAGGCUCAUCUCAAAUGGUGGCAUCUUUGCUCUUGGCUUCUUCUCCCCGAAAAACUCAAGUGCAAACUCAUAUGUUGGCAUAUGGUACCACAACAUCCCCGAGCGAACAUAUGUGUGGGUCGCAAACCGCGACAGCCCAAUCACUGGCAGCUCCCCUGGUAAGUUUGUUCUGACCACCAGCUCUGAUCUUGUCUUGUUAGACUCCAAAGGAAGCACUCUUUGGACAACCAUGAACAACAUCACCACUGAAGCCACCGGAGCUGCUGCGAUACUGCUGGACUCUGGGAACUUGGUCAUCAGGUUGCCGAAUGGCACAGAUAUAUGGCAGAGCUUCCAUCACCCAACCGAUACCAUUCUCCCGAAUAUGAGUUUGCAGCUGAGCAACAACAACAACCUCUCCACGCACCUCGUUGCUUGGAGGGCCCCUGAUGACCCAUCUACGAGUGAUUACUCCUUGGGUGGUGACUCGAGCUUCCAGAUCCUCGUUUGGAAUAGGACGAUGCCAUACUGGCGCAGGGCUGCGCUCGAUGGUGUAUUGGUCUUCGCCAUGUAUCAGAGCAAAUCAGGUCCCAUCAUGUCCCAAACAAUUGUCAACAGAGGUGGUGAGUUCUACUUGACGUACACCGUCUCUGAUGGCUCAGCAAGCAUGCGUAUGAUUCUGCACUACACGGGCAUGGUGAAACUCCUGGCAUGGAACAGCAACUCAUUAUCUUGGGAUGUUUUCUUUGAGCGCCCUGGUUCUAGCUGUGACCGCUAUGCCUCUUGUGGCCCGUUUGGCUACUGUGAUGCCACAGAGGCGGUUGCGACAUGCAAGUGCCUUGAUGGAUUUGAAUCUGUUGGUCUUGACUUUUCCCUAGGAUGCCAGAGAAAGAAGGAGAUACGUUGUGGUCAAGGAGAUAGUUUCAUUACCUUGCUUAACAUGAAGACGCCUGACAAGUUCUUGUACAUCAGGAAUAGAAGCUUUGACCAAUGCGCAGAAGAAUGCAGCCGCAACUGCUCAUGCACCGCAUAUGCUUAUGCUAACCUGAGUAAUCUCGGUGUGACUGUAGACCAGUCGAGGUGCUUAGUUUGGAUGGGAGAGCUUGUUGACACAGAGAAGCGUGGUGAUGGUCUUGGAGAGAAUUUGUACCUCCGGAUUCCCAGCUCGUCUGUCAAUAAGAAGACUGGUGCACUGAAGAUUGCACUCCCAGUCAUGGCAAGUCUACUGAUAAUUAUGUGCAUUUGUCUUGUCUGGAUACGCAAGUCGAGAGGCAAGGACCAAACCAAGGCACCCAUGAAUUAUGCGGUGCCAGAACAACUGGGCAAUUCUGAUGUACUAUACGAUCAAAAUUCAGAAUUUCUGUGGAUUAGCUUCAAUGACAUCAUUGCUGCUACAGAUGGUUUCUCUGACUCUAAUGUGCUUGGAAAAGGAGGCUUUGGCAUAGUAUACAAGGGCACACUGGAAGGUGGCAAGGAAGUUGCUGUUAAAAGGCUUACCAAGUGUUCUGAUCAAGGAAUGGAGCAUUUUAGAAACGAAGUAGUUCUUAUUGCAAAACUGCAGCACAGAAACUUAGUUAGACUUCUUGGUUACUGCAUCCAUGGAGCUGAGAAGCUUCUUAUUUACGAAUACUUACCCAACAAAAGCUUAGACUACUCCCUAUUUGAUGAUGCUAAAAGAUCUAUGCUUGAUUGGCCAACAAGGUUUAGCAUAAUCAAAGGGAUAGCUAGAGGACUUGUGUACCUCCACCAUGAUUCGAGAAUGACGAUAAUUCACAGAGAUCUGAAAGCAAGCAACAUCUUGUUGGAUGAGGAGAUGAGACCCAAAAUAUCAGAUUUUGGCAUGGCAAGGAUCUUUGGUGACAACCAGCAACAAGCAGAUACUAGACAUGUUGUUGGAACAUACGGUUACAUGUCGCCCGAAUAUGCGAUGGAAGGCAUUUUCUCUGUCAAGUCCGACACAUACAGCUAUGGGGUCUUGCUACUGGAGAUUGUAAGUGGGUUGAAGGUCAACUCACCUCCCCAGCUUAUGAGGGACUUUCCAAACCUCGUAGAUUACGCAUGGAACUUACUGGAAGAAGGAAAAUCAGGGGAUUUCAUGGACACGGUGCUUCUGAAGAGUUGUUCACUGCAUCAAGUGUCGUUGUGCAUCCACAUAGCAUUGUUGUGCGUUCAGGACAGCCCGGGUGCCAGGCCACUCAUGUCGCUAGUCGUGUCUAUGCUGGACAACGAGGCCAUGCCAGUCACGACUCCAAAGCAACCUCUGUAUUUCAUUGGAAGGAGACAUGAAGCAGAAGAAGCGACGGAGGACUCUGUUAACAGCGCGGGCCUGACAUCGCUAGUAGGACGCUAGAUGCCUAGAAUCCGCUAUGCUUGUCUGCAGUGUGGUGACCUGAGCGCCCUGGAACAUCAAAGGAAGCAGAUUACCAUUGACUGCCAAGUGGAUUUCAGUAACCAGCUGCAGGUGGUGCUCCAACGGUCCGUUUGAAAUUACUGGUGUGGUAGCUUUGAGUCUUUGACUGAUAAACUUGUUAGGCGCUCAAAUGCAACUGAAGCUGGACCGUCAGCUUGUUUAGAAGGACUCAUCAGGCUUGGUGCUUCAGUGGCAGAGUGAUCGUUCUGCUGAUGUCCAAGCCAUUCUCUUGCACGCUGAAAAUCCAUCAAAAAAAGGUCAAAAGGGAGGGAAAGGAGGUCGCGCAUUUGUUAGCGCAACCGUGUAGUGAUCCGAAUAUAUGCCGUACGAAAAAUAUUUCAUGAUGAAUCUGACGGUAUUGAUUUGGUAUUGUAAAUGCUGAUAUUUUUACUGUAAACUUGGUCAAUGUUGACAAAGUUUGGCUUUGAAGAAAAAGCUUACGUGCAACUAUAAUUUGGCAAAGAGGGUGUAGAGAAGAGUUUUUUUGUUCGGGGUGAGUGAGAAUAGUUGAGUACGGGGGGUCAUGCAUAUGACUGCUCCAUCCUGCGUGUCAGAACUAAUCACUGUUGCUCUUUUUUCCUUUUCCUUUUUUACUCUGGCCAUCCAUGAUUUUGCUUUUUGUAGGUGUGAUCCUUUGUGUGCGUUGAUUGACUGUGUGCAUCCUAUCAUAUAGAAGUCGGGUGUACGCUUAUAUUGUGUUUGUAUCAACUAUUGCC